rnacentral:misc_RNA from 1 species
AUGAGGUGGGUAUGUACUUUGUAGGUUCGAAGUUUUUUUAGACCAGAAGAAUUAAUACCCAUUUGGCUGAUAAGGCUUAUUGAAAUGGGAGAAGAUUUGAUUACUAGUCUGUCUAUUGAGAAUCACCUCCCAUCAACACUCUUAUCCAUGGAUUCUAGUUCUGUUUCUCAUGAGGAAUUGGACAGAGAGAUGAAUAGGACGAUAAUUCUUUCUAGGCCCCCUGAUAUUAAUCUUCCACUAUCUGCUGAGCGUAGUCCUCCUCCGCCAUCCUGGAAUUUGGACCCUUUUGAUAUAUUGGAUGUUA